AUGUGGCUCCGGUUGGUGCUCAGCCCAGGGCACGCCCGUUCGGGACUGCGGAGACGCCGGGAGCCCCGCCUGCUCGCCCAACCCAGCGGGGUCUGGUCCCAAGGGGUCUCGCCGCCCGCCUUCUAUCUCCGCCUCCUGCCCUCGGGCUGGGGUGCCGAUAGCCGAGGUGCGCCCGGACGCCCUGCCACCCCAGCGCCCUCUGAGCCCGGAGCUAGCCGAGGUUUCCCUUUGAAAAUGUAUGUUUGGCCCCCAUCACAGAAGUCCUGCCUGGAUUGCAGAGAAGCCCACAGCAGACCACACGAGCCCCAGAAGAGCGCUGGCUGCCGUGUGCUGCAGGUUCCUGCGUCUUUUUUCCUAUGUGCCCUUUGUGUUAAUUAAAAAUGAGACCAUUUUGUACACACUGUUUCUGAACCUUCCUUUUCUCACUGAAAAACCUUUUCCCGUUUGGGAAAAGUCUCUGCUGUGACAAUGACCAGCGGCAUCAUGCUUCAUCUUCUGGCUUUGACUUCAAAGCCCAUCCUAAGGACGGCUGAGCAGUUUCCAAUUUCUGGCUCUUGCAAAAGAGUGAAUUUUUUUAGCAUA
ensembl:lncRNA